AGCAGCCGCGGUAAUUCCAGCUCCAAUAGCGUAUAUUAAAGUUGUUGCAGUUAAAAGCUGUAGUUGAAUUUCGGGAUCAAUAUGCCGGUCAUGCCUUGGUAUGCACUGGUAUCUUUGAUUCUCCCUUCUGACGAACUUUGAUGUCAUUAAUUUGGUGUCAUAGGGAAUCAGGACUGUACUUUGAAAAAUUAGAGUGUUUAAAGCAAGCUCACGCUUGAAUACAUUA
rnacentral:rRNA from 1 species